rnacentral:misc_RNA from 1 species
GGACUUGUAAAUUUAUGUUAAAUCAUUUUAUUUUUUACAACAAAAUAACUUUACUUUGUAUGAAAUCAAGUAACUAUAAAAUACACCUUCCAUUAAGUAAAUCCAAGAAAUCUUACAGAGAGAAAAAGAAGCAUAGCAAAUUAAAGAAGGGUGAGACCACACCAGAGAAGAUAGAAGAGUCUGUUCAUAAUGGGGUUUAUUACAUUUC